rnacentral:misc_RNA from 1 species
GGGAAUGUUUCCAGCUUGGGGAAGACUAUUUCCCUCAUUGUUAAUAAACGGCCUUAUAAAUCGAAUAAACAGUUACUAGAUGAACAACAUUAUUCUUGUGCUGGUUGCUACAAAAAUUUUGACGACGGGAAGACUCGAAUACAGGAACUUGCACAGACUAUGGGGUGGGGAAAACCUCGUUUCUGUGAAUAUAGUGGUCAGCUGUACUGCUCGUCAUGCCAUACAAAUGAUACAGCUGUCUUGCCUGCAAGGAUUCUGCAUCUUUGGGACUUUAAUCAAUACCCAGUUUCUCAGAUGGCUAAAUCUUAUCUAGACUCUAUCUAUGACCAGCCAAUGCUUUGUGUCAGUGCAGUCAAUCCAUUUCUGUUCUCAAAGGUCCCAGCUCUGCAGCAUGUAACAAAUAUCAGAAAAAGGAUAGGAACUAUGCUUCCAUUUGUUCGCUGCUCCUUCCAAAGAUCCAUCUACAGGGGAGUUGGAUCUAGAAGAUAUCUUCUUGAAAGCAAUGACUUCUUUUCUCUUAGGGAUCUCAUAGAUCUAUCCAAGGGAGUCUUUGCAGCUUUACCUGUUAUGGUCGAGACUAUAUCAAGAAAAAUUCUGGAGCAUAUAGCUGAGCAGUGCCUUAUAUGUUGUGAUGUGGGUAUACCCUGCAAUGCUCGGCAAGCCUGUGAUGACCCCUCUUCUCUCAUUUUCCCUUUCCAGGAAGAAGAAAUUGAAAGAUGCAAGUCUUGUCAAUCAGUUUUUCACAAACAUUGCUUUAGGAGGACAUCAAGUUGCCCUUGCGGUACUCAAUUUAAACCAGAGCUAGAGGGAAAUACAAGUAGGGGCAACCAUGAGAGCAGUAUGGGGAAUCUCUCCUUGGCCUUGUCAGGAAAGAAGGCAGACCUCAGUAAAGGGCUUUUUUCUAGAGUAUUCUCGAAGGUAAGAUCACUGAAAUCUAGCGAGGGUGGAGAACAGCAGCCUGAAGAUAAGAGUACUGCUAUUGUAAUGGGCUUAUUGCCUCUGACCAACCUCUGAAUACCUGUACAUAUAUUCAUCCUUGUAUCUUGCGUUGCAAGAAAAUCAUGUGAAUUGAAGCUUGUGCUUUAGCUAAGACCUGUAAGAAUUGCAUAUUCUUUCUCUUUUUGUGUCGCUCCAUCUUAUUUGGUCCUUUUAUAUUUUCC